AACGAACGCUGGCGGCAUGCCUAACACAUGCAAGUCGAACGAGACCUUCGGGUCUAGUGGCGCACGGGUGCGUAACGCGUGGGAACCUGCCCUUAGGUUCGGAAUAACUCCCCGAAAGGGGUGCUAAUACCGGAUAAUGUCUUCGGACCAAAGAUUUAUCGCCUUUGGAUGGGCCCGCGUUGGAUUAGCUAGUUGGUAGGGUAAAAGCCUACCAAGGCGACGAUCCAUAGCUGGUCUGAGAGGAUGAUCAGCCACACUGGGACUGAGACACGGCCCAGACCCAGAGGGGAGGCAGAAGGGGGGAUUAUUGAACAAGGGGCAAAGGCUAAACACAGCAAUGCCGCGGGAGUGAGAAAGCCCUUAGGGUUGAAAACCUUUUUUACCCGGAAUGAUAAGGACGGAACCGGGAAAAUAAGCCCCGGCAAACCCCGUC
rnacentral:rRNA from 1 species